GUCUACGGCCCUGCCACCCUGAACAAGCCCGAUGUCUGAUCUCGGUAGCUAAGCAGGGUCAGGCCUGGUUAGUAUUUGGAUGGGAGACCACCUAGGAAGACCAGGUGCUGUAGGCA
rnacentral:rRNA from 1 species